AUUGAACGCUGGCGGCAUGCUUUACACAUGCAAGUCGAACGGUAACAGGUUAAGCUGACGGGUGGCGAACGGGUGAGUAAUGCAUCGGAACGUGCCCGAUCGUGGGGGAUAACGCAGCGAAAGCUGCGCUAAUACCGCAUACGAUCUGAGGAUGAAAGCGGGGGACCGUAAGGCCUCGCGCGAUCGGAGCGGCCGAUGUCAGAUUAGGUAGUUGGUGGGGUAAAGGCUCACCAAGCCGACGAUCUGUAGCUGGUCUGAGAGGACGACCAGCCAGACUGGGACUGAGACACGGCCCAGACUCCUACGGGAGGCAGCAGUGGGGAAUUUUGGACAAUGGGCGAAAGCCUGAUCCAGCAAUGCCGCGUGCAGGAAGAAGGCCUUCGGGUUGUAAACUGCUUUUGUACGGAGCGAAGGCCCGGACUCGUUCCGGGAUUGACGGUACCGGUGGAAGAAGCCACGGCUAACUCUGUGCCAGCAGCCGCCGUAAAAC
rnacentral:rRNA from 1 species